rnacentral:rRNA from 1 species
UGCAGUCGAACGCUGAAGCCCGUGAGUGCUUGCACCGGGGUGGAUGAGUGGCGAACGGGUGAGUAACACGUGAGUAACCUGCCCCCGACUUCGGGAUAAGCCCGGGAAACUGGGUCUAAUACCGGAUAUGACCAUGACUCGCAUGAGUGAUGGUGGAAAGUUUUUUCGGUUGGGGAUGGGCUCGCGGCCUAUCAGUUUGUUGGUGAGGUAAUGGCUCACCAAGACGACGACGGGUAGCCGGCCUGAGAGGGCGACCGGCCACACUGGGACUGAGACACGGCCCAGACUCCUACGGGAGGCAGCAGUGGGGAAUAUUGCACAAUGGGGGAAACCCUGAUGCAGCGACGCAGCGUGCGGGAUGACGGCCUUCGGGUUGUAAACCGCUUUCAGCAGGGAAGAAGCCUUUCGGGGUGACGGUACCUGCAGAAGAAGUACCGGCUAACUACGUGCCAGCAGCCGCGGUAAUACGUAGGGUACAAGCGUUGUCCGGAAUUAUUGGGCGUAAAGAGCUCGUAGGUGGUUGGUCACGUCUGCUGUGGAAACGCAACGCUUAACGUUGCGCGUGCAGUGGGUACGGGCUGACUAGAGUGCAGUAGGGGAGUCUGGAAUUCCUGGUGUAGCGGUGAAAUGCGCAGAUAUCAGGAGGAACACCGGUGGCGAAGGCGGGACUCUGGGCUGUAACUGACACUGAGGAGCGAAAGCAUGGGGAGCGAACAGGAUUAGAUACCCUGGUAGUCCAUGCCGUAAACGUUGGGCACUAGGUGUGG